ACCUAUUUUAUAUGCAAAAUAUAGCAAGUGCUAACAAAGCAGUGGCUGUUGUCCUUGGUAAGCACUCACUUGGAAUAGACAGACUAAGUUACAGGUAAUUCCUGGGUUAAAAGAAGAAAACUUAAGAAUUUGAUCUUUAAUUUCAGAUCUGCAGACACAUUGCACACUGUGGUGAAGCCUACUUGCCUAGAAUGAGCUUUGCUUGGAUACUCUGACUCCAUAACUUUGCUCUGAUGCCCACGUCCUCACUAUCGAUGGGCUAAAAGAAGUUGAUGAAGACAGGCUUCCACUAUGCUUCAGCCUCAAACCUUUUGGAUUUGCUGUACUCUCUUCCUGGGUCUCAAGACCAGUGUUCUGGAUUCACAAGAGGUUCUAUUUAAUCAGUGUUCUAGGCACAGGGCACAAGGUGGGUCCUUUCUUUCUGCUACCUUUUUACUUUUAAUAUUGGAAAGUUGUCUUGAAUUAUUUCAUUGAUAAUUUUCUUUAUUCUUUUUCCCCCUACUUUUAUUUCUGGAAUUACAGAGGUUUGGGGAAAAUAAUUUCUGGAAAUAGGAUUUAUUUGAUUUAUUCUCUAAGCUGCCUU